UGUUUUCAAUCUCCAAAAUUUUCACUCGCGCCCAUAUUUCAUCUCUUCCCUCUUCUGUCUUUUAUUUUCCAAAUCAAUCCUAAACUCAAAUCAGUAGUUUGCAGUUGCACAAAUCAUCAAUUUCCUCAACACUAUCAUUUUCCCUUUUGUUCGAAUCAUGAACUCGAAUCUGGUUGUACCCAAAAAACCCUAAAAUCAUGAAGAAAUCCAUUAAUCCUAAUCCCUAAUCGUUUUAUUUCGUCCUUGUUUCCGACCCUAAUCAUUCUUCUCUUUAUGGAUUGUUUCCAAUUCCGCUUGCUAGGUUCUCUUUCUACGCAUACUGGUCCGUCUCAAAAGGUUUUAUAAUCUUUUUUCCAUAAGAUUUAGAGGGACACCAAGGAGUCUUCUUCAUCCACCCCUUCUCAUUAGAACACAUACUAGCAUUGUUCUAGUACUCAAGAAGAGUUGAAGCACUUGAUUUGCUCAUUACUUGUUUGAUGGGAUGCUCUUUAGUUACUAAUUGAUUACCACAAAAAUGUUUUUGUCAAGGUUAGGAUGCUCAUGUUGGAUAGAACUCCUUGUUCAAGUCAUUCAAAGCUUUAAAGCUCUAUCAACGUCAAUAUGUUCCAGCUGUAAAACAAGGUAGUCACAUCAAGUGAGAAGUUUGAUAGGCUGGCUUCUGGGAAAAUACAUGUGCUGUUUCAAAUGAUAUAAAGAUUUUUGCUACGAGUGCUUUUCCUUGUCCAUAUCUACACAAUCCUUCGGAUAUCUAUUUCAGGAUCAUAAACAGGUUAAACCGAAAGUGAUGUAAAAGAUACAUAAAGGAAUUAGAGCUUAUAAAGACACUUCAGAGAGAUCAAUCUAGAGAUGACAUAGACUAUGUAAGUCAUGAGCUAGAAACUUUAUAUGUUGGAUUAAGCUUCUACUAGCUAGGUUCAAGACCAAACAAAUUAUCCAAGUCCACACAUUGAUGAAGAUGGAAGAGAUGAAGAUUAGAAGCUAAUUAUAUUUCGAUGAAUUAGCUUUAAUUACUUUUCGUUAUGUAUUUUUGAUAUUAUGUAGUGCCAUAGUGGUGCAUUUGAUACUUUGUAAGAACGACAAAUUUUUAUGUUAAUGUUACAAAUUUGGUGUUGAUCAAAA